CCUACGGGAGGCAGCAGUGGGGCAUAUUGCACAAUGGGGGAAACCCUGAUGCAGCGACGCCGCGUGAGUGAAGAAGUAUUUCGGUACGUAAAGCUCUAUCAGCAGGGAAGAAAAAAAGUCCUUUGGACUUUGGACGGUACCUGACUAAGAAUCCCCGGCUCACUACGUACCAGCAGCGGCCGUAAUACGUAGGGGGCAAGCGUUAUCCGGAUGUACUGGGUGUAAAGGGAGCGUAGACGGCAGCGCAGGUCUGGAGUGAAAUUGCGGGGCCCAACCCCGGAACUGCUUUGGAAACUGUGCAGCUGGAGGGCAGGAGAGGUAAGCGGAAUUCCUAGGGUAGCGGUGAAAUGCGUAGAUAUUAGGAGGAACACCAGUGGCGAAGGCGGCUUACUGGACUGUAACUGACGUUGAGGCUCGAAAGCGUGGGGAGCAAACAGGAUUAGAUACCCCGGUAGUC
rnacentral:rRNA from 1 species